rnacentral:rRNA from 1 species
UACAGAGACUGCAAGCGUUAUUCGGAUUCACUGGGCGUAAAGCGUCCGCAGGUGGCUAUUCAAGUCUGCGGUCAAAGACUGGGGCUUAACCCUGGAAAGGCCGUGGAAACUGAAGAGCUAGAGUGCAGUAGGGGUAGAGGGAAUUCCCGGUGUAGCGGUGAAAUGCGUAGAGCUAGGGAAGAACAUCGGUGGCGAAAGCGCUCUGCUGGACUGCAACUGACACUCAGGGACGAAAGCUAGGGGAGCGAAUGGG